rnacentral:lncRNA from 10 species
GCUGUCCUCCCUCCUCUGGCAUGGAGGAGCACAACUCGGGAGGAGCAGAGGGCAACUUGGGGCCGGAGGCAUCUGCAGCUACCUGUCCCAGGCACCCCAGAGUCUCUCGGGGUAUGCUGAUGAUGGUGACAGGCUCAAGUUGAAGCUGCAGGAGGAACUUUUUGCUGCUUUUAAGCAGCCCAGGCCUGGGACAGGUUCAGACAGAAGCCCAGGCUCUGAGCGCUGGGUGGGAGUCAGGGGGGCUGUGUUACAGAACAGCAAUAGGAAGAGCUCCGAGCUUGGAAUUCACACACAUGCCUGGAUCCUGGCUCCUAUGUGAAAGGCUGGGUGACCUUGGCCAGGGUCUGAAAGUCUCCUGAUAACAGCAUGAGAGGAGCUGCAGUCGAUGAAAUCCCAGGCUGCCAUGAGCGUGCAGAGGAGCUUUGUAACACCUGCGUGAUAUUAAUUGAUAAUAGCUGGCUUUCUGGGGGAAAGAAAAAAGCUCCUGACGCGUGGUGGUUGCCAGUUGCUGUGGCGAUCCUGGCGUGUUCCAAAAAGAGAAUAUUUGCUAAUUUGACAAAAUGCUGGAAGAUAUAGAAAUUUUUUUUUUUUUUUUUUUUUUAGACAGUGUCUCACUCUGUCGCCCAGGCUGGAGUGCAGUGAUGCGAUCUUGGCUCACUGUACCCUCUGCCUCCCGAGUUCAAGAGAUUCUCGUGCCUCAGCCUCCUAGUAGCUGGGACUACAGGUGCCCACCAUCACGCCUGGCUAAUUUUUGUAUUUUUUGGUAGAGAUGGGGUUUCAGCAUGUUGGCCAGGCUGGUGUCAGAUUCCUGGCCCCAAGUGAUCUACCCACCUCAGCCUUCCAAAGUUCUGGGAUUAUAGUCAUGAGCCACUGUGCUUGGCCUGGAAGAGAUAGAAAUUCUUUUAGCAAUGUAAUACCAAGAGCUGGGUUAAGAGGAGCCCCAUCUAGCAGUAAUGCGGUUGGAAGGUGGUGUUGGUGAACUCCCUGUGAGAGGGGAAGCCAGCUGGACUUCCUGGGUCGAUUGGAGACUUGGAGAACUUUUCUGUCUUACAAGAGUUUGUAAAAUGCACCAAUCAGUGCUCUGUAAAAACACACCAAUCUGCGCUCUGUAGCUAGCUAGAGGUUUGUAAAAUGGACCAAUCAGCACCCUGUAAAAUGGACCAAUCAACACCCUGUAAAAUGGACCAAUCAGCACUCUGUAAAAUGGACCAAUCAGUGGGACAUGGGUGGGGACAAAUAAGGGAAUAAGAGCUGGCCUCCCCCAGCCAGGAACGGCAACCCGCUUGGGUCGUCUUGCUUUGUUCUUUCCCUCUUAACAAUAAAUCCUGCUGCUGUUCACUCUGGGUCCGUGCCACCUUUAAGAGCUAUAAUACUCACCGCGAAGGUCCGCGAUUUCAUUCUUGACGUCAGUGAGACCACGAACCCACCAGAAGGAACCAACUCGGACACACCUACAGAUGGGAAGCCCCUCCCUUUGGUCCACACAGACCCAGAAGGACUGAGAAAUGGAGAACCCUUGGGGUAGGGAAGGAGGUCAAGGGUCCUUGAAGAGGAGAAGAGAGAGGGGGUCUGAAAGGGAGAAGUCAUGGUGGCUUGUGACACAGAACUGAGAGCUUUCAGGGGAAGGACCUUGACAGUUUCAGAAGAGUUGAAUGACGGAACUUUCUAGACCCCCACACCCUCCAAACCCCUGGGCACUAGAUUGGAGACUAUGACUAAAAUCCAAAAGAAAGGACUCUUUUUGUUUAUUUUUUUUACAUUCCAGGUAGGGCUUGCCUAGCUAAAAAUGAGAGCAUUUAUUACUGACCCACCAUCUCUUUCUUGGGAAUAGGGUGGUAGGUUAUAGAAAACAAGAUUUAUUUUUCUUCCAG